GAUGAACGCUGGCGGCGUGCCUAAUACAUGCAAGUCGAGCGAACAGACGAGGAGCUUGCUCCUCUGACGUUAGCGGCGGACGGGUGAGUAACACGUGGAUAACCUACCUAUAAGACUGGGAUAACUUCGGGAAACCGGAGCUAAUACCGGAUAAUAUAUUGAACCGCAUGGUUCAAUAGUGAAAGACGGUUUUGCUGUCACUUAUAGAUGGAUCCGCGCCGCAUUAGCUAGUUGGUAAGGUAAGGCUUACCAAGGCAACGAUGCAUAGCCGACCUGAGAGGGUGAUCGGCCACACUGGAACUGAGACACGGUCCAGACUCCUACGGGAGGCAGCAGUAGGGAAUCUUCCGCAAUGGGCGAAAGCCUGACGGAGCAACGCCGCGUGAGUGAUGAAGGUCUUCGGAUCGUAAAACUCUGUUAUUAGGGAAGAACAAAUGUGUAAGUAACUAUGCACGUCUUGACGGUACCUAAUCAGAAAGCCACGGCUAACUACGUG
rnacentral:rRNA from 1 species